AAUCAACGCUGGCGGCGUGCCUCAGACAUGCAAGUCGAACGAUUAAAGCUCUCUUCGGAGAGUGCAUAGAGUGGCGCACGGGUGAGUAACACGUAAGUAAUCUACCUCUGAGUGGGGAAUACCAUCGGGAAACCGAUGCUAAUACCGCAUAAUGCAACAGCAUCGCAAGGUGCAGUUGUUAAAGAUUUAUCGCUUGGAGAGGAGCUUGCGGCAGAUUAGCUAGUUGGUAAGGUAAUGGCUUACCAAGGCUACGAUCUGUAACCGGUCUAAGAGGACGGUCGGUCACACUGACACUGAAUAACGGGUCAGACUCCUACGGGAGGCAGCAGUCGGGAAUUUUGGGUCAAUGGGCGAAAGCCUGACCCAGCAACGCCGCGUGAAGGAU
rnacentral:rRNA from 1 species